GUAAAACUGGAAACAAGACCCAAUUCUUCAUAUAUGGUGGUUAACACUGAAAAUCCCGUUUCUCACGCUAGGCUUACCCACCAUUUUAGGGGGUAUUGGCUCUCCAGAGGGCUCUCCCAUGUCUGAGAGUGUAAACUAAUUGGCCUCGGGCCUCACUCUCAUGAAUCGUGAGCCAAUCACCUUGCGUAAUUGCUAAUGAGAGCG